UCCUCCUUAAAUGCGAAAACAUGACCCAGGAGCAUGGAUUCAUUAAUUCGUUGUACUUUCAUGAGGAACACUGCACGGAGGAAUGAAAAUGCCACCUGGGUGCCAGAGAAGAAUUUUUUUCAGGCGCUAUGGUCCUCAUAAUUGUUAGGAUAAGAUACUCCUUGCAAGUUAAAACUCACACUAACUCUUCUACAUAUAGCAGAAAAACUUUCUGGAAGAUGUUUGAUCAUUUCGUGGAUGUGUUUGUGUUUUUCAACUCUAAGUGAGGAACUGAUCAAGGUGACACGGGAUCAUCUUGGGAGAAUGCACAAGGUUUAGUUUCCUGAAGCAGAUGUUAGUACCGCCUUUUUGUAGAGAAAGAUGAGAAACAAAAUAUGCUAUAUAUUUGCCAACACAGGAGCCUGACUUUAAUGUCAAUGAAAUUGCCUCUACUCGUUCCCUACUUUGGUGGUCUAAAUUCAGCUCAGAUCACAUUGUUCUCAGUUACCCUGUAUCCCCUGGGUAAGAAUGGCC